GCCCAGGUGGUGGAAUUGGUAGACACGCUAGUUUCAGGUACUAGUGGCUUAACGGCUGUGGAAGUUCGAGUCUUCUCCUGGGCACCA
rnacentral:tRNA from 1 species